rnacentral:tRNA from 1 species
ACAGGUAUGAUGAAAUUGGUAAACAUAUUAGACUUAGACUCUAAUUACUUUAAUGUUCUUGAGGGUUCGAGUCCCUCUACCUGUA